UCUAGAGUGAGAGAAAGGAGAAUGAUUCCGAAAUAGGUAUGUAUGUUAAUUGUGGGAAAUGUUUCCACUUCCUUGAAGUGAUUUCUUGACAAUCUAUCUCUAAUACUCUACAUAACAUGAUUGAUAUAAGAGGAACACUAAAUAUAUAUGUAUGUAUGUAUGUAAGUAAGUAUGAAGAUUUAACCCCUCUUUCCCACUGUUAUAUGUAUGUAUCUACUUGAUAAACAACUUCUUCAUUCCAAAUGAUUAUUUAUUAAGAAUGAAUCUAUAUGAAAAUGCAUAAAUGAAGAACAAGACGGAGUCUGAAGGAAAACUGAUACAUAUUUUUGUAAUAUCUUCUUCUUUUUUUUUUUAAAACAUUGGAGUUGAGUGUUGAAUAAAAAAGUGUAUAAUGUGUGUAUGAGUGUGAGAGUGUUGGAAAAAUCAUUAAGUAUGGAGUAUGUAUAUAUAAACAAUUGUUACAGGGAUGAUACUUUUAGUAUAUAUAAUAUGUUUAAUCGGUCAAUGUCCUUCAGUCAUGAAAGAAAGAGACAAAUUGAUAUGAUUGUUACUAUUAAAAGUACAAGUUCAUUUGUAUUAUCCUUCACACCUGACGAAAACAACAACGACUACAGAGUACAGAUGGAGAUCAAUAGUCCUAUACUGAUAUGGAGAUGAAGGUACAACUUAUAUGUAAACAGAGGACGUCUAUUGGAUAGAUGUAUAUAAGUCUUCUUUAUAUUAUCUAUAUAUAUUCCUACUAUGCUUCUUCUUGGGUUUUGGUAAUUAAAUACAAUUACUACAUGCAAGGAAAAUAAUUUAGAGAGAGCCUCAAAAAUAAAAAAAUUAUAUCACGUACAAAAUCUUUUUUAUUCUGUUGGUUAUAAUCCAUUUAUCCACCAAUAAACUGCAACAAACAAAUGCAAUAGCGUCUCUUCUUUCUUUUUUUCAUGGUGUAGAUAUUUGAUAAUUAAUUUAAACUAGAUUUUUUGAGCUAUGUACCUACAUCACCUAAAUAUUCAAUUGCUUUCUAUUUAUUUGUGCUUGGAUGGCGUGAAAACUACAUGUAGGAACAUGAGUGAUGGUGAUGAUACAUGAUUGAUAGGUAAGAGAGACGGGAUUGAUCUUACCUUGAGGCGGUGGAGGUGGUUGGACUUCAUCAGCAAAAGUCACUGUGUUAGUUCUUGGCAUUCUGGUAUUUCUAUUAGUAUUACUCUGUUCUCUGAACGUGUAUUAUUUAUUAUUAACUAUUACUCUAUUAUUAAUGUAUAAUUAUCACAGAAGAUCGUUUCUUUUCUUUUUAUCUAUCUUAAAUUGAGAGAGGGGGAAGAAGGAGGGUGAGUGUGUACGACUAAGUGUCAAUGCUUUCACUGGUUAUUUUUUUAGACUUGGGAGAUGAGUUGUAUAUAUAGAGAAAUUGGAGACACUUCUGCACACUUUUUAUCUGCACUAUCCUUUAAAAAGUUUUGUUGAGUUGUUUAAUUUCAAAAAUCUUUUUUCUUUUCAUCUUGAUGGUGGUGAUCCAUCCACCUUUGGAUUGAAAGGAGGUUGAGGAGAUGAUGUCGCUAGGAAUAAGUUAUUUCUACUAAAGUGAGCGGAAGAAGACGAUGAGGGAGAGGAGGUGUGUGGAGCAUUCAAUGCAUUGAGCAAUGGGGUGGACAUCAUGAAGAAAGGUGGGGGAAAUAUUCACCAUACUUUUUUCACUCAAUCACGGAUCAUGAAUAUGUGCAGUAGUAUUAGAAGUAGUAACUAGUAAGCACAUUUGGAGGAGGAUGAUGAUGAUGUUUUAAAUGGACACACCACACUCACUCAUUGACGGUAUUGAAACAACUACUACUACUUCUGCUUUAAAGGAGGCUAGUGUUUUUGGUUCUUCUCCGCUCUCUGUCGCCUUUUCCUUCUCCCUCUUGCUUUUCGACAGCAAGGGAUUACCAGCCCAGGAGAAGGAGAAGAGCCCGGACGAGAGAAGAAAAGAAAAUAUAUGCAAGGGGGGAGGGAAAGUCUAUAGUUGGAUUCCCUCCCCUCCCCUAUUACUCUCUCCUUCUCUUUUUUACUUUAUAAGCAUGGUUAAACCAUGCCCACACCGCCAUUCAUUAUGUAGUAUUGUACUUGGAAACAUAUUAUAUACUUAUAAGUUAUACAUACAUAGACUGAAUAAUAAUAUUACUCCAAUACA
rnacentral:lncRNA from 1 species